UUGGAGGGCAAGUCUGGUGCCAGCAGCCGCGGUAAUUCCAGCUCCAAUAGCGUAUAUUAAAGUUGUUGCAGUUAAAAAGCUCGUAGUUGAAUUUCGGGAUCAGCAAGUUGGUCGUGCCUCUGGUACGUACUGGCUUUACUGGUUCCUCCUUCUUGAAGAACUGUAAUGUCAUUAAUUUGGUGUUGCAGGGAAACAGGACUGUUACUUUGAAAAAAUUAGAGUGUUUAGAGCAAGCUAACGCUUGAAUACAUUAGCAUGGAAUAAUGAAAUAGGACGUUUGAUCCUAUUUUGUUGGUUUCUAGGAUUGACGUAAUGAUUAAUAGGGAUAGUUGGGGGCAUUAGUAUUCAAUUGUCAGAGGUGAAAUUCUUGGAUUUAUUGAAGACUAACUACUGCGAAAGCAUUUGCCAAGGAUGUUUUCAUUAAUCAAGAACGAAAGUUAGGGGAUCGAAGACGAUCAGAUACCGUCGUAGUCUUAACCAUAAACUAUGCCGACUAGGGAUCGGAUGAUGUUAAUUUUUUAAUGACUCAUUCGGCGCCUUACGGGAAAC
rnacentral:rRNA from 1 species